rnacentral:tRNA from 1 species
GUCUGGGUGGCUCAGUGGUUGAGCACCUGACUUCGGCUCAGGUUAUGACACCGGGGUCCCAAGAUC